rnacentral:misc_RNA from 1 species
UCCGGCUUGUCACCGGCAGUUUCUUUAGAGUCCCCAGCAUAACCUGAUGGUAACUAAAGAUGAGGGUUGCGCUCGUUGCGGGACUUAACCCAACAUCUCACGACACGAGCUGACGACAGCCAUGCAGCACCUGUCUCUACUCCGGCCGAACCGAAGGGCCUCAUUACAAGGCCCGGUGAGUAGGAUGUCAAGAGCUGGUAAGGUUUUUCGCGUAGCCUCGAAUUAAACCACAUGCUCCACCGCUUGUGCGGGUCCCCGUCAAUUCCUUUGAGUUUUAAUCUUGCGACCGUACUCCCCAGGCGGGGUGCUUAACGCGUUAGCUGCGAUACCGAAACUAAUGUCCCGACAUCUAGCACCCAUCGUUUAGGGCGUGGACUAC